rnacentral:tRNA from 1 species
AGCUCAGUGGUAGAGCACUUGCCUAGCAUGCAUGAGGCCCUAGGUUCAAUCCCAG